rnacentral:rRNA from 1 species
UGGGGGAAAUAUUGGGACAAUGGGCGCAAGCCUGAUCCAGCCAUGCCGCGUGUGUGAANAAGGCCUUAUGGUUGUAAAGCACUUUAAGCGAGGAGGAGGCUACUUUAGAUAAUACCUAGAGAUAGUGGACGUUACUCGCAGAAUAAGCACCGGCUAACUCUGUGCCA